UGAAACACGGACCAAGGAGUCUAGCAUGUGCGCGAGUCAUUGGGAAUCACUAAACCCAGAGGCGCAAUGAAAGUGAAAGUGUCGAACGUGAAAGCGUUCUUCGCGCAGGGAAGAUGCGUGUGCGGCGUCAGCCGUACCGCCGCAUUCCCGAGGCGUUUCGAGAAAGCCCCCGUGUUAUUAUCGAGACGCACUGAGAGCGUACACGCUGGGACCCGAAAGAUGGUGAACUAUGCCUGGUCAGGUCGAAGUCAGGGGAAACCCUGAUGGAGGACCGAAGCGAUUCUGACGUGCAAAUCGAUCGUCGGAACKGGGUAUAKGGGCGAAAGACUA
rnacentral:rRNA from 1 species